UUUGUGUAAUGUCUCAUGUCCUUUUUUUGCCCCUAUUUUUUUCCUUUAGGUUGUGCGGCCCAGGACUUGGCCAUACCAGGUAUAUAUGUUAUUGUUAAGGUCUUUGUGUAAGUUUCAUGUCCUUUUUUUGCCCCUAUUUUUUUCCUUUAGGUUGUACAGCCCAGGACUUGGCCAUACCAGGUAUAUAUGUUAUUGUUAAGGUCUUUGUGUAUUUCUCAUGUCUUUUUUUGCCCCUUUUUUUUUUCCUUUAGGUUGUGCAGCCCAGGACUUGGCCAUACCAGGUAUAUAUGUUAUUGUUAAGGUCUUUGUGUAAUGUCUCAUGUCCUUUUUUUGCCCCUAUUUUUUUUCCUUUAGGUUGUGCGGCCCAGGACUUGGCCAUACCAGGUAUAUAUGUUAUUGUUAAGGUCUUUGUGUAAGUUUCAUGUCCUUUUUUUGCCCCUAUUUUUUUCCUUUAGGUUGUACAGCCCAGGACUUGGCCAUACCAGGUAUAUAUGUUAUUGUUAAGGUCUUUGUGUAUUUCUGUCUUUUUUUGCCCCUUUUUUUUUCCUUUAGGUUGUGCAGCCCAGGACUUGGCCAUACCAGGUAUAUAUGUUAUUGUUAAGGUCUUUGUGUAAUGUCUCAUGUCCUUUUUUUGCCCCUAUUUUUUUCCUUUAGGUUGUGCGGCCCAGGACUUGGCCAUACCAGGUAUAUGUGUUAUUGUUAAGGUCUUUGUGUAAGUUUCAUGUCAUUUUUUUGCCCCUAUUUUUUUCCUUUAGGUUGUACAGCCCAGGACUUGGCCAUACGAGGUAUAUAUGUUAUUGUUAAGGUCUUUGUGUGUGUUUCAUGUCUUUUAUUUGCCCCUUUUCUUUUCCUUUAGGUUGUGCAGCCCAGGACUUGGCCAUACCAG
rnacentral:lncRNA from 1 species